GUGCCUGGCCCAUAUGUAUAAAUUUCUUUGCAUCCCUUUAUGACUGUCUUUCUGCCGUUUUCGGGAGGGUUUCUUUUUUUUUUUUUUAUCAUCUUCUGUUUUUUGUUUUUGUUUUUUUUGAGACAGGGUCUUGCUUUUUUGCCCAGGCUGGAGUGCAGUGGCGUGAUCUCAGCUCACUGCAAACUCUGCCUCCCGAAUUCAAGCGAUUGUCGUGCUUCAGCCUCCCAAGUAGCUGGGAUUACAGGUGCCUGGCACCACACACGGCUAAUUUUUAUAUUUUUAGGUUUCACCAUGUUGGUCAGGCUGCUCUCGAACUCCUGACCUCAAGUGAUCUGCCUGCCUCGGCCUCCCAAAGUGCUGGGAUUAGAGGCAUGAGCCACCACGCCCGGCCUCUCUGCAGUCUUGAACUCCCAGGCACAAGUGAUCCUCCCACCUCAGCCCCCUGAGUACCUGGGACUAUAGGCACGUACCACAACGCCUAAUUUAAAAAAGCUUUUUUGUAGAGACAGGGUCUCACUAUGCUGCUUUAACUCCUGGGUUCAAGUGAUUCUCUUGCCUUGGCCUCCUAAAGUACUGGGAUUACAGGGAUGAACCACCACGCCCAGCCUUCUUCUAGUUUAUUUCUCACUAUUGUUCAUACACAUCACGUCUGCCUGACGGAUCUCUGGGUUGUACUGCCAUGCCACAUCCCCACACCCGUUUUUCCUGUAAUGUCCUCCUCUUUUUUGCCUAUCCAAGCUCUUACUUAUCUUAAAGGCCUAACUCAAACUUGCCUUUUCCAUGAAGCUUUCACAAAUUACUCAGCCCAAACUGAUGUCUCUGAAUUUACAGCUCUUAUGCGGUAAAGUAUCACGACUUAGGUCUUUUUGUUUUAUGAUAUGUCUUAUGUUGUUUUGUCCUUGCUUUAUUAGUUUGACUUGUGCAGCUAACUCCUACUCACAUCUACAGGGAAGUCAUCUCUGAUUCUUGCCUAACACACACGAUCUCUCUCUGGGCUCCCACAGCACUCUGUGCUCACUACUUAUAUAACUCACACCAUGCUGUGAUCAUUUAUUUGUCUGUCUCCCCAGCUAGAAUGUUUAAAGUUGGGGUCUGAGUAAACCAGCUUCUAACAAAUGCCUGACAUUUAAAAAACAAGAGGGAAAAUAUCAAAACCACAGUAAAGGAUUCCUACUUCUGGCAGCAUGGAUAAGAGAAAGUGCUAUCCCAUUAAAAUACAACUAGAUCCUAGAUAAAUUACAGCAAACAUACUUUUUAGCACAUUGCUGAGUUCAUUAGAAAGAGAAAUCACUAAAAAAAAAAAAAAAGUACAGGCCGGGCACGGUGGCUCACGCCUGUAAUUCCAGCACUUUGGGAGGCUGAGGCACGCGGAUCACGAGGUCAGGAGAUCGAGACCAUCCUGGCUAACACGGUGAAACCCCGUCUCUACUAAAAAUAAAAAAAAUUAGCCGGGUGUGGUGGCGGGUGCCUGUAGUCCAAGCUACUCGGGAGGCUGAGGCAGGAGAAUGGCAUGAACCUGGGAAAUGGAGGUUGCAGUGAGCCGGGAUUGCGCCACUGCACUCCAGCCUGGGCAACAGAGCGAGACUCCAUCUCAAAACAAAACAAAAUACAAAUUUAAAAAAGAAAGUUGAAACCUAUAUAAAGGAAGAGCAACAUGGAGUAGUAGAAGCAGGUUUACCCUGAGGACAAAUCCCAGUGUCAGCAUUGUGAUCAUAGUCUAAGCCUUGGGCCUAGGCCAAGGGAAGAGAAGAAAAACCUGCAACUCCUGAAUUAAACCUGGACUCUUGAAGGGGCUAACAUAGUCCCAGGUUUAUGCAAAUGCAAAUCCUCUCUGGAGGGAAGUAUUCCUAAUUUAGGUCCUCGGAAUUCCCACAGAUUAAAUUUAACAAAAAUGAGUUCAAAACCCCAAAUAUAAAAUAGGCAAGGCACGCUGGCUCACACCUGUAAUCCCAACACUUUGGGAGGCCAUGGCGGGUGGAUAGCUUGAGGCCAGAAGUUCGAGACCAGCCUGGCCAAUAUUGUGAAACUCCAUCUCUACUAAAAAAUACAAAAUAUUAGCCGGGUGUGGUGACAUGCACCUGUAAUCCCAGCUACUUGGGAGGCUGAGGCAAGAGAAUCUCUCGAACCCAGGAGGCAGAGGUUGCAGUGGGCUGAGACUGCACCACUGCGCUCCAACAUGGGUGACAGAGCAAGACGCCAUCUCAAAACAAAAAACAAAAAAACCCAAAAUAUAAAGUAUACAAGUAAACAAGCUACCAUGGACAGGACUCAGCAGAAAACAACAAAAUGGAUUUAGACAUCCAAGAUGUUACAGAAUAUAAAAUAACAAUCCCAACACAUUUCAAAGAAUUGGUGUCAUAGACACUACAUUCUCUGAACACAAAUGAUUAAGCUAAAAAUCAGUAUCAAAAAGAUACAAUUUGGGCCAGGUGCGGUGGCUCAUGCCUGUAAUCCCAGCACUUUGGGAGGCUGAGGCGGGCGGAUCACAAGGUCAGGAGAUCGAGACUACCCUGGCUAACACGGUGAAACCCUGUCUCUACUAAAAAACACAAAAAAUUAGCUGGGUGUGGUGGCGGGCACCUGUAGUCCCAGCUGCUCCGGAGGCUGAGGCAGGAGAAUGGCCUGAACCCGGGAGGUAGGCUUGCAGUGAGCCAAGAUCACGCCACUGCACUUCAGCCCAGGCGACAGAGUGAGACUCUGUCUCAAAAAAAAAAUACAAUUUUAAAUCUCCAGAUAUUUGGAAGUUUAUAAAAUGUUUCUAAAUAGUUCAUGAGUCAAAAAGUCAUAAAGGUAAUUUAAAUAUUUUUAGAACUAAGUAAUAAAAAUACAGCACAGAAAAACUUGUGGGAUGUAGAGAAACAGGUUAUUAAAAACUUAAAAUAGUGAAGAAGAUAGCCUGAAAAUUAAUUGGCUAAGUGUCAAAAUGAAUAUGUUGUAAAGGAACAUAAAAUUAAACCUAAAGAAAGCAUAAAAAAGAUAGCUAUAGAUAAGAUCCAUAAUUAAUGAAAUGGAAAACAAAUACAUAAGGGAGAGGAUCAACAAAGCUCAAAGUAGCAUCUGAAGAUAUAUAGGUAAAAUAAAUUGCUGGUGCAACUGAUCAAGACCAAAAAAGGAGGCACAAGUAAACAACAGAAAUGAAAAGGAAGAUAUGCCUAUCCACAGAGCAGAGAUAAAAAAGAAACAAGGCCAGGAGCAGUGGCUCACGCCUGUAAUCCAAGCACUUUGAGAGGCAAAGGCAGGCUGAUCACUUGAGAUCAGGAGUUUGAGACCAGCCUGACCAACAUGGUGAAACCACCUCUCUACUGAAAAUACAAGAAUUAGCUGGCCGUGGUAGCACACACCUGUAAUCCCAGCUACUCCGGAGGCUGAGGCAGGAGAAUCGCUUGAACCCGGAAGGCAGAGGUUACAGUGAGCCAAGACUGCGCCACUGCCCUCCAGCCUG
rnacentral:lncRNA from 1 species